rnacentral:rRNA from 1 species
UACGUAGGCAGCGAGCGUUGUUCGGAGUUCCUGGGCGUAAAGGGUGUGUAGGCGGUUCUUUAAGUUUGGUGUGAAAUCUCCCGGCUCAACCGGGAGGGUGCGCCGAAUACUGAGGGACUAGAGUACGGGAGAGGAAAGUGGAAUUCCUGGUGUAGCGGUGGAAUGCGUAGAUAUCAGGAGGAACACCGGUGGUGUAGACGGCUUUCUGGACCGUAACUGACGCUGAGACACGAAAGCGUGGGUAGCAAACAGG